rnacentral:tRNA from 2 species
GCCGAUGUGGCUCAGCUGGUAGAGCAGCUCAUUCGUAAUGAGCAGGUCGUGGGUUCGAGUCCCAUCGUCGGCUCCA